CCUACGGGAGGCAGCAGUGGGGAAUAUUGCACAAUGGGGGAAACCCUGAUGCAGCGACGCCGCGUGAGUGAAGAAGUAUUUCGGUAUGUAAAGCUCUAUCAGCAGGGAAGAAGCAAGACGGUACCUGACUAAGAAGCCCCGGCUAACUACGGGCCAGCAGCCACGGUAAUACGUAGGGGGCAAGCCUUAUCCGGAUUUACUGUGUGUAAAGGGAGCGUAGGCGGUUUGGAAAGGCGUACGUGAACGCCCAGGGCUUAACCCUGGGACUGCUUUUGAAACUGUUAGACUAGAGUGCUGGAGAGGUAAGUAGAAUUCCUAGUGUAGCGGUGAAAUGCGUAGAUAUUAGGAGGAACACCAGUGGCGAAGGCGGCUUACUGGACAGUAACUGACGUUGAGGCUCGAAAGCGUGGGGAGCAAACAGGGUUAGAUACCCUAGUAGUC
rnacentral:rRNA from 1 species